rnacentral:lncRNA from 1 species
UGAGAAGAUGAUAUUUCUGGGCUAUCAUUCAACAGGUUCCUAUAGAGUUUAUAAUCCUAGGAAUCAGAAAUUCAUGAUUUCUAAGCAUUUGAAGUUUGCAGAAGAUCAAAGGUGGGUCUGGAAUGAAGAUGAAUCAACAAAGUCUGGUACAUUGACUAGGCUACUCCUUGAUGGACCUAGUAUCACAGAAGCUGUUCCUAAUGUCCAAGAGUUAGAGGCUCCUACUGAUAAUACUCACCAUGAGCUUCAUUCUGAGCCUACUCCACAUAGAAGAAGGAAUGUAUCUACAAGGCUUAGAGAUUAUGAGAUAUUCCGUGACUCACUGGUAAAUAAUGAAGGGGAUUUUGUGCACAUGGCAUUGCUAGCUGAAAUGGAACCAGAAUGCCUAGAUGAUGCACUGAAACUUCACAAUUGGAGAGAAGCUAU